rnacentral:rRNA from 1 species
AAUGAACGCUGGCGGUAGGCCUAACACAUGCAAGUCGAACGGCAGCACAGUAAGAGCUUGCUCUUACGGGUGGCGAGUGGCGGACGGGUGAGGAAUACAUCGGAAUCUACUUUUUCGUGGGGGAUAACGUAGGGAAACUUACGCUAAUACCGCAUACGACCUACGGGUGAAAGCAGGGGAUCUUCGGACCUUGCGCGAUUGAAUGAGCCGAUAUCGGAUUAGCUAGUUGGCGGGGUAAAGGCCCACCAAGGCGACGAUCCGUAGCUGGUCUGAGAGGAUGAUCAGCCACACUGGAACUGAGACACGGUCCAGACUCCUACGGGAGGCAGCAGUGGGGAAUAUUGGACAAUGGGCGCAAGCCUGAUCCAGCCAUACCGCGUGGGUGAAGAAGGCCUUCGGGUUGUAAAGCCCUUUUGUUGGGAAAGAAAAGCAGCAGGUUAAUACCCCGCUGUUCUGACGGUACCCAAAGAAUAAGCACCGGCUAACUUCGUG